rnacentral:rRNA from 1 species
GAUGAACGCUGGCGGCGUGCCUAAUACAUGCAAGUCGAGCGAACAGACGAGGAGCUUGCUCCUCUGACGUUAGCGGCGGACGGGUGAGUAACACGUGGAUAACCUACCUAUAAGACUGGGAUAACUUAGGGAAACCGGAGCUAAUACCGGAUAAUAUAUUGAACCGCAUGGUUCAAUAGUGAAAGACGGCUUUGCUGUCACUUAUAGAUGGAUCCGCGCCGCAUUAGCUAGUUGGUAAGGUAACGGCUUACCAAGGCAACGAUGCGUAGCCGACCUGAGAGGGUGAUCGGCCACACUGGAACUGAGACACGGUCCAGACUCCUACGGGAGGCAGCAGUAGGGAAUCUUCCGCAAUGGGCGAAAGCCUGACGGAGCAACGCCGCGUGAGUGAUGAAGGUCUUCGGAUCGUAAAACUCUGUUAUUAGGGAAGAACAAAUGUGUAAGUAACUAUGCACGCCUUGACGGUACCUAAUCAGAAAGCCACGGCUAACUACGUG